UUUGGGCAAAUAAACUUGUCAAAACAUCUAUCUUAUGCAAUUCCACCUAGCUGGUUAAUUACCCAUCGAUGAAUUAUUGGAAAUGACCCAAAUUGUCAAAAACAGGACAACCGAUCUUCCUUAACAAAACGAAGAAUUCAAAUUUAAGCUCAAGGUUUGUUCAUUUCAGAGAUGAUCUUCAGAUCCUGUCCUACAUGAAGCCAAAAGGUUUUUGUCAUCAA
rnacentral:lncRNA from 1 species